CCCAGCCAGGCCUGGCACCAGGUGCUCCAGGCACAAUCUCAGUCAGUCUUCCCAGCUGCUCCAGUGGUGGGGAUGGUUAUCAGCCCACUUUACAGAUGGGCAAAUAAGGAGAGACGCACUGCCUCCCCGAGGCCACAGGGCUAGACGGUGGCUGACCCGUCUGACCCGGGGACAGUGGGGUCCCCGCUCGGUAGCCCAUACAGCCUCCCAUUACCACCCCCACACCUGCCCCUGGAGACGCCCCCAAGACUAACAUGAAGAAUGGACUCCCUUCUCUUAGAACAUACAAGAAAGAUUGGUACUUCUCAAGUUGACAUUUUAUUUAAUCCAGGUGCCUCGGAGCAUACCCAGACUUCUCCCCAGGAAGAGAGACUGACAGCACGUCCGAGACCGGGGGCACAUUCAGCCUUUCCAGUCCUGCUUCCCAGCCUAAGCUCUGGUCUUGGAUCCUGCCCUGUUCCCAGACACUGAGAGAGGAAAGAAAGUCCUUCUAACUGGUCCCCGAGACUCGUGUCCCCAGCGGUCGUCCAUCGGGCUAUUCACUGUGUUCUGCUCCCCAGGCCUUCUGGAAGGACAGUGCUCCCUGUCCCCUUUAAUUAGAUGACUUACCCUGAACAAAAAAAAAAAGAGAUAAAUAAUGUGUGCCACAUCAGGGCAGAGGUAUUAAGAGGAAGUGCACAGUUUCCCACAUUUCUUUCCACGUCCCAGUGAUGAAGGAACCCAUGCUGAAAUGGGGCCUCUGUUAGCCCGGAUGCCUGAGUGACUAUGCAGAGUGGAGACCGCUGCCAACCUUCAUUGUGAGGAACACUACAUUCUUGUUGAGGAAACUGCUGGCUGGAGAAGGUUGCGUGCACCAGGAGCCUCUUGUCCUGGAUGGCAGCAUCCAGCACAUUCGCUGGGCCCCGGAACUCGUCUGACUCCCUAACACGUCCUUCCUCCUGAUGGCAAAGGAGCACAUCGGGCAGGAGACGCGGGGCCAGCAUCCCCCUAUAAUCACCUCCCUGAUCAGCUCAGAGGCCCAGGGGCUGGGUACUCAGCCCAGACUGGGACACGUCAAAACAAAGAGGAGCGAAGCACCCCAGGCAUCUCUCCACACAGCUAACGUGACAGUGCCUGACGCUGGAUUCACGGGGCCCUCACAGGAUCCACAGGAUGACGCUUUGUGGCCCCAAGGAGCAGCUGUCACCACAGCGUAUCAUCUUCAGUUCUGCAGGCUCCAGCUACAGGGGGGUGUACAGUGAUCAUGGCCCAGGAGGAGAGGGUGGGUCUUGUCCAAUCAGUCGAAGGCCUGAAUGGAACGAAGCCCAACCUGCCUCCUGAGUCAGAGAGAAUUCUCCUGCCUGAAGCCCUGCAGACUGCAGCACCAGCUUUCUGGCUCUGCAGCAGCUUCCAGCCCUGGACAGAAGCUGCAAAGUUGGCUCUGCAGGUUUUGGAUCUGCCCGCCUCCAUAAUCGCGUGAGCCAAUUCCAUACACACGUGUACAUAAGCUCUAUUGGUUCUUUUUCUCUAGAGAACCCUAAUCCACCAUCUCUGACCGCACGCUGCCGGCCUCCAAGUUGGGGAAAGGCUGGAAAGAGGAGGAGGGAAGCCACCGAAGAGGCCGUCGGUGCUGGCCAAGGGGUUCCCACCAGGCCCCGUGGGUCCACCCUCCCCUCCCCCAGUGGCUGCCCUGGGUUUCUGCUGGGUCUCAGAU